ACGGUAACAUUUCUAGCUUGCUAGAAGAUGACGAGUGGCGGACGGGUGAGUAAUGCUUGGGAACUUGCCUUUGCGAGGGGGAUAACAGUUGGAAACGACUGCUAAUACCGCAUAAUGUCUUCGGACCAAACGGGGCUUAGGCUCCGGCGCAAAGAGAGGCCCAAGUGAGAUUAGCUAGUUGGUAAGGUAACGGCUUACCAAGGCGACGAUCUCUAGCUGUUCUGAGAGGAAGAUCAGCCACACUGGGACUGAGACACGGCCCAGACUCCUACGGGAGGCAGCAGUGGGGAAUAUUGCACAAUGGGGGAAACCCUGAUGCAGCCAUGCCGCGUGUGUGAAGAAGGCCUUCGGGUUGUAAAGCACUUUCAGUUGUGAGGAAAAGUUAGUAGUUAAUACCUGCUAGCCGUGACGUUAACAACAGAAGAAGCACCGGCUAACUCCGUGCCAGCAGCCGCGGUAAUACGGAGGGUGCGAGCGUUAAUCGGAAUUACUGGGCGUAAAGCGCACGCAGGCGGUUUGUUAAGCUAGAUGUGAAAGCCCCGGGCUCAACCUGGGAUGGUCAUUUAGAACUGGCAGACUAGAGUCUUGGAGAGGGGAGUGGAAUUCCAGGUGUAGCGGUGAAAUGCGUAGAUAUCUGGAGGAACAUCAGUGGCGAAGGCGACUCCCUGGC
rnacentral:rRNA from 1 species